rnacentral:lncRNA from 1 species
AAAAAGUCUAUAAAUAAGGAAGAGGGUGUGGAGAAAAAGGAACCCUCCUACACUGCUGUGGGAAUGUAAGUUGGUGCAGCCACUAUGGAAAACAGUAUGGAGGUUCCACAGAAAACUAAAAAUAGAGUUGCCAUAUGAUCCAGUAACCCCUCUCUUGAGGAUUUAUGUGGACAAAACUAAAAUUCAAAAAGGUGCAUGCACCCCUAUGUUCAUAGCAGCACUAUUCACAAUAGCCAAGACAAAAAAACCUAAAUGUCCAUUGACAGAUGAAUUGUUCAAGAAGUGUGGUACAUAUAUACAAUGGAAUACUACUCAGCCAUACAAAAGAAGGAAAUAAUGCCAUGUGCACCAACAAAGGUGGAACUAUAGAUUAUCUUAUUAAGUGAAGUAAGGCAAAAAGAGACAAUUACCAUAUAAUAUUACUUAUGUGUGAAAUAUAAAAUGUGACACAGUUGAACCUACCUGUGAAACAGAAAAAGGUCAAUAUCUGUUAGAUAAAUAAAAUUUUUUGAUACUGUGAAUUGAUCUCUAUGGACAGUUACAGGUAGAGAAGUCCAUCUCCUUAAAAGUUUCAGAGCAAAGAGAAAAGCACGUUGAAUUAAAUUUUGAACCAGAUUUUAAGGUGAAGAUUAUUUAUGAAAAAGCAAAAUAAACCAAGAAAAAUGUCUUUAUUAUUGCUCUUGGAAUGGAUUUACAAUGAGAUCCUGCUGUGUAGCACUGAGAACUAUGUCUAGAUACUUACAUCGCAACACAACAAUGGGAAAAAUUAUGUAUACAGGUAUGUGUAACUUGGUCCCCAUGCUGUACGGUGGAAAUAGAUAAAUAAAUAAAUAAAAAUUUAAAAAAUAUAUGUUUUUAAAGCUUUCUCCCGAAUAAGUCUUCUUUUUUUUCUUUUUUGGCCAUGCCCAUGACAUAUGGAAUUUCCCAAGCUAGAGAUCAAAUCUGAACCAGAGCUGCAACCUGCACCACAACUGUGGCAAAACCAGAUCCUUAGCCCACCACAGCACAGCAGGAACCUCUGCAUGAGUCUUUUCUUAGCACAUAAAAAUCACCAUUAACAUUUUGUUUUUUGCUUUAAUUGGUGGACCCUCCUUUGAUCUGACUCCUGUCAUAAAUUACACUGGGCAAUGUCUGUAAUAUGAAGCCAUUGCUAGAGAGUCGAGAAAGUCAUUUGGGAAUCCCCUCAGUUACUCUCUGGCUCUAUCUCUCUAGCCAAUAAUUCAGGUGCUUUUUGCCUAAGUGAAGGGCAAUUCAAUCAAAUCAUUUGACUUCUCCUCUAAAUUGGUAAGCUUACAUUUAUUUCUGGUCUUGAAAGACAGCUAACUCAUUCAACUAAACUGACCCAGUGGAUCACACAAACUAGAGCGCAGCCUAUAGCAUUUAAAUAUUUUGGGAGGGAGCUUCUCACCAGGUUUAGGUUUGAGGGGGAUGUUCCCUCUUCGGAGAAGGGCUCUGGGUUUCUGGCCCUCCCAGUCUCUAUUCCUGUUCCAGUUCCAGCUUCUGGGAGGCAGAGACUCUAGAGGACCUUAUUUGGGUAAUAUACCCUAUUAUUAGAUUGGGCAAGCAUGAUUUCACUUGUACACAUAUCUAGUUCUUCAACUCUACCCUCAAUUAGAAUAGCUCCUGUUUAAAGUUUCCAGUCAACCUAAAAAGUCUGGCUGAAUUAUUUACCAACCCUACACAAAUUUUCUUCAGCAAGUUGUCUUUGAUUCUUUGGCUUGCAACAUUAUUCUGUGCCAAAUCUGAAAAGCAUUCUGCAAAGUUUAUUCACAGGCCAAACAAUCAAAGAUGUGCCUUUUUAGUUUUGAGUGGUUUUUUUUGUUGUUGUUUUGUUUUUUUCUUUUUGGGAACUGCCACAAUUUCAUCAUAAAAACAAUUUCAAACAGAGCUGUCUGCCGUAGUAAAAUUGCCUGUUUGCCCACAUACAUGUACAGGUAAUUACCAGGGUUAACCGGUAAUGUUACUUAAGUAAUCAUUUUUAUAUUGUAUAAUUAUGUAAUUGUGAUUCCAUGUGGCGUAUCAUUAUAGAGGUUUCCAGAAGCACAUGACUUUUUUAGUAUAGAUAGAUAAAUUCAGGCAUGGCAACGUAAUUGGAAUCAUCCAGACUCAUGUGACCUAGACUCCCAGAGAACUUACAUUCUUUUUUUUUUUUGGCUUUUUACCUUUUCUAGGGCCACACCUAUGGCAUAUGGAGGUUCCCAGCCUAGGGGUCUAAUCAGAGCUGUAGCCGCCAGCCUACACCAGAGCCACAGCAAUGCAGGAUACGAGCUGUGUCUGUGACCUACACCACAGCUCACAGCAACACCAGAUCCCUAACCCACUGAGCAAGGUCAGGGAUCAAACCUGCAACCUCAUGAUUCCUAGUCGGAUUCGUUAACCACUGAGCCACGACGGGAACUCCAUGUUCUCUUUUCUUUCCUUCAGUUUUGAAUGUCCCUGUGAUCCAGAAUAAACAUGUCUGCAAAAUGCACCCUUAACUCAAAAGGAGAAGGAAGACUCUGUAUUUGUGUGCUUCUAUUGACACAAAUAUGAAAAUGGGCAGAAAUACAUAUCCUUUGAAAAAUGCCUUUGGGAGUUCCUGUUGUGUCUCAGUGGUAACGAACCCAACUAGCAUCAUGAGAAUGAGGGUUUGAUCCCUGCCCUCACUCAGUGGGUUAAGGACCUAGGGUUUUGGAGAGCUGUGGUGUAGGUCACAGAUGCUGCUCGGGUUCCACAUUGCUGUGGCUGUGACUGUGGCUGGUGGCUACAGCUCUGAUUCAAACCCUAUUCUGAGACUUCCAUAUGCCAUGGGUGUGGCCCUAAAAAGACAACAACAACAACAACAACAACAACAACAAGAUUUUGGCACAAAAAGCUUUUCUUUUUCUUUUCCAUGCUGUAAAUUUAAUCAAAACUUUAGACAAUAUCAGUGAAGUCAGAAUAGACUAAUGAAGGUAGAAAAACCAUAUCAUAGAUGCUUAAGCUAAAUGGCUCUUCUGUCUUUUCCCUCGAGGUCUUUGGACAGAACAUUGCAUAUCACACUCCCCCAGUCCUUAAAAACUUCAUAUCCUAAUAAGACUUCUUGUCAUCCUGGGGUUAUUUUCCCACUAAACCUACGUGGAAUUAGGUUUGCUGUAAAAUACAGUAAGAUUCCUUCAAAGUCCUUUAGGAAAAUAGAGAAUUUUACUAAGCAUAUAAGUUUCCCUUGUGAAGCAUUUGGAAAAGAGAGAUUGAUUUGAAAAAUUGUUGGCGUGCAUCAUUUAGUCAUUAUUUUCCUGUGUGAUUUUGGUAAUUUGUUGUGUAUUUUCAGAGAAAACAUGGUCUUUGAAAGUUUUUUAGGAGUGUGCUGAAAACGGCACCUUGUGCCAGUGUUUUUGUUCAUUUAUCAGCUUAAAGCAACUAAUUUUUCACUAAACCGUAAACAUUUGCAGUUUUAAUACAUGUUUCAUAAAACACAAAUUUCUAGUCAUUGCAACACCUCGGAUUCUCUAAAUUCCUAUUGUGUGGCUCUCAUAACCUGUAGGCUCUUUUCCAAACUUCUGCGCCAAAAUAUUUUUAUUGUAUCAACUUUAAUGAGAAAAAAUUAACUCUUGCAAAACAGAAAUUUCAGGGUCCAGGAAGUGGAUUAAUGAGGCCCCUUGAAUUCUUUUCCCUCUGAAGCUGGCUUCACGUCUGCUUUGCCUAUGGAAAAUAUUUAUAACACUCACAGUAUAGCCUAAGAAUUAAAGUCUGUGUUUAAAUCUUAGCCUUAAUUCCUACCAGUCUCGGAAAAACCCUUGACAUCUCUCAGCUUCCCUUUCUUCCCUAGCAUAUGAGGGCAUGUGUUCAUCCCUGCUUCUGGAAUGUGCUGGGGGCUUACAUAUCAGAGGGCAGAAGGUGUUCAGCAUUGUACCUUACGUCGUCUUUAAUACCUGUUAGCUUUAAAGUAAUGACAUUUUAACAUGGUAAUAUUUUUUCCUAAUUAAUUCUUGAACCAAAUUUAAAAUCUAGGUCAUGGAUUUUAUGGCAGGGUGCCGAGCAACAAAUGCCUGCUGUUUGGCUGCUCUUUUUCUCCCCGUUUUCCUUCAGUGUAUCCUUUCAUGCACGAGCUUGUAUUACCCCAAGUCUAUCCUCUUACCUGAAGUCCCUUCUCCUAUCUUUCACCAAAUCUGUUUUACCCUUUUUCCAAAGACAACUUAUUUCUUACUUGCUCUGUGAAGUCUUUCCAAUAGGUAAGAAACUAAAAUUUUCCCCUAUUUAUUGUUCUACUCAAGUUGGAAGGCUGCAGUUGGGUUAUGUUUUUAUUUGUUUGUGUGUGGCUGUGUGCAUGCAGAGAUGAUAUGGACUUGCACAGGAUUCUUUGUUCAGCUUCUUUUUUAAUCUAGAAGAGUGAUAUUUCCAGAGGGGGUGGUGCGCCGAAGUGCCAUUCCAGAGGUCAAGCCAGGUCUGAUGUGGUCAGCUGAUUGCCAGAGCAGCCUUAGACAGUGAGGGGGCAGUCAGAUACCCUUUCUAAACUAAACUAAAAAAAAAAAAA